UUCCUGGUACUGUAUGCCUAACAGAGAGCACCCGCUCCCCCGUGUCUCCCCUGCAGGGCACCCUCAUCCAGCAUCUGAAGGAACACCUGCUGCACGGCAACAUGACCAGCAGUGACAUCCUCCUGUGCUACACCACGGUAUCUGGGCUCAUGGCGACUACUGCAGAAUCAACCCCAAGACCGGGGGCAUCAUCAUGCUUGGCCGGAGUGACGGCACCCUCAACCCCAACGGGGUGCGGUUCGGCAGCUCGGAAAUCUAUAACAUUGUGGAAUCCUUCGAGGAGGUGGAGGACAGCCUGUGUGUCCCCCAGUAUAACAAGUACAGGGAGGAGAGGGUGAUCCUCUUCCUGAAGAUGGCCUCCGGGCACGCCUUCCAGCCUGACUUGGUUAAGAGGAUCCGUGACGCCAUCCGCAUGGGCUUGUCUGCGCGACACGUGCCCAGCCUCAUCCUGGAAACCAAGGGCAUCCCGUAUACGCUCAACGGCAAGAAAGUGGAAGUUGCCGUCAAACAGAUCAUCGCUGGAAAAGCCGUGGAGCAAGGAGGUGCUUUCUCGAA
rnacentral:sRNA from 1 species